UGGGCUACAUGGUCCAAUGGGAAAGGGAGCUUGGAUAUAGCAUCGACGUUUCUAGCCAUGAUGCAAGUUAAAAAAGCUACACACUGUUUGAAUCACACAAAGGCAGCUUAUAAAAUGAGGAUGAGAUGGUACCUCAACCCCCAGAAACUAGCUCACAUAUACCCAGGAGCCAACCAAAUGUGUUGGCCAUGCAAAUAAUGCCAUAUCUUCGGUAUUGCCUUCUGG